CAAGAAGGAGGCAGUCAUUGACCAUCCCGGAAGUAUCCACAAGCCUCAGAGCCAACCAGAUCAUCACACUGAGGAAGAAAUAGACUAGGGAUUCUUCAUCAUGAUCUUUAAAGAGCAACCAUGCUGACACCAUAAGAGUUCCAAGUCCAGCAAGGAACCCUCUCAAACCCUGUUGCAGCCUGUCACAUGUACUGUGACAGCACCCAUGCACGUGGAAAGAGAUUCAAAGCAAACUCCUGAAUGGCAAGAUCUCCCUUCUCCCAUCAGUUUUCCCCCAGGGAGAGAGGCCCACCAGAAUCCUGAAGGAGCUGUUCCCUGAAAUUUAAGUGAUGACAUGAAUCUGAGGACCUGAGGGAUGGAUGUAGAAGACACAGAGCUGUUUUACCUUCAAAAAUUCCCUUUCAAGGAAGGACUUGUCCCAGGUCCUAAGAGCGCUGUCAGAAAAACAUCCUCCAGCUCUCAGCUCUUUUCAGGCUUUCUCCUCACUGCAGGGUGCCAACUCAUCUGAGAGCACUCCCUUUCUGGGGUGGAAGACAUCCAGAGACUGACUGUGGCGUGGCUAUAAAGGCCCAGCCAUUUCAGCCCGCGAGGGGAUGACUCAGAGGAUCCCUUAUCCUCUAGAGCACUCCAGUGGGGUCGGUCCGCAUCACAGCCUGAUUUCUGUCUUUUCCUAAUCUGCUUCCUCCCGCUAGCUCCCACAAGAAUUGAUUCCUCAUGGAAAUCCUGCAUGCUAAACUCCAUCUCAGAAUUGUGUGCUUACAGCAAACACAACCUGAAACACUAGCCUUUCUAAAGCUUCAGUCCUGUCUGUUAUUUAGUUCCUUCUAUAUAUAUAUAUGUAUAUUCUCUUCUUAAAAUUCUCAUUCGCUCCAAAUCUUACGUCUUUGUCUAAGCUCUAGACUUACAUUUCCUUCCGUCCAUUUGUUAUUUUCACUGAGUAUCCCAGCAUCAAUUCAAGCUGUCCAAAAUGAACACAUCUCUUCCUCCUUAUAACAUUCUAAUUUAUGUUGAUGAUAUUUAUCUUCUUAUGUCCUUCCCCAUAUUCCACCUAUGGUAUUUUAGGCUCAUAAUUAUUUUGUUACCUUUAAUCUCUCACAUCGUAAUAGGCUUUCAAAUAGCUGACUUUUUCUCUGCUGUAAUUACCCACAUCUUUCUACUUGCUUGUCUAGAGGGACUCUGCCUGUCUUUUCCCCCACACCCUCCUCAUUGUAGCACAUUCUUGCACAGUAUCCUAAAUCAGAGUAGGUUCUUAACUCUUAUUUUUUCUAAUGAAUACUGACUGCAAUAGCUACUGCAAAGAUUUUUCCUCUGGCAUUUCCAUCCUCCCAAACUGUCUGUGCACUGUAGCCACACUGAUAUUCCAUACUGCAAAUCACUCUUAUUUGAUUGAUUUUCCUUUUCUAAAAUCUUCAGGAUUUCCUGAAGGAAAUAUCCUUAUUUCCCUAAGGAUAUGAGCCAGAUUCCUUGGGUUGGUCUUCAAAGCUUUGCACUGUCUAAAUGCACUCUCCUAACCUGAUUUGUCAUUUGUUCUUGAUAGUAAAUUAUCUGUUCUUAACCAGGUCCUUCUGCCCCCCACCAGAAGAGUGAUGUUGUUCUGAUCAGCCUUUCCUCAAAUUGUUCCAUAAUGUGGACUAUGGGGGUAACCCUGCUAGCUGAAAUUCUCCCUCUCUCUGAAUCUGACACCUUUUCCACUGUUUCAGCCAAUCAUCUUUCCCUCAUCUGAACUCCUAUACAGGAGUGGACUUUGCAUCACUCAAUUUUUUACUUUGCAUACAUCAGUAAAUGUAUUUUAAGUCUCUACCAUGUUUUAAACACUAAACUGAAUGCUGAGAAGACAGAGUAAUGAGAAGUGUUUUCUGUUCUCAGGAAGUACUGAGGCGGAGUAGAUGCAUAAAUAAGCUAGUGCAGUGAGACUCGAAGGGGCUCUAAUACAUGUCUGCUUUGCAUAAAACAACAGGCAAACGAUUUUCAGGAGUAUUGGAAGGGCAACAUAAAGGAAAGAAUAUUUGUGUUUUCUCUUGAUAAAUAAAUAGAUGGUCACUAGAAUUGUGCUGUCGGGAUAGGUUUAUGGGGUGUAUAUUCUUGGCAGAAGAGACAAGCUGAACAGAAGCAGGGAAAAUGGACUAGCAGGUGAAAUCUAAGGAACCGCUCUUGUGGGCAGCAGAAGACGUGGGAAGUAAAGGGAGAGCUUGUACCCAGAUCUCAGGCGACCUUGUGAGGCAUUCCAAGGAGUCUGAAUUUUGUUUUGUUGGCAGUGAGGAGGGAACACCACAAAAUAUGUUUAAUUCAGUGAAUAACAUGUUCAAAUUUGAGUUUUAGGAUGAUCACAAAAUCACAUAUUAUUAUUUGCUUUUAAAAAUAUAGAUCCAGUCUCUAAAUAUAAAACAAGUUGUUGGAAGAAAGUGUCUUGGAUAUGAUAGGAGAUUUAAAAAAAUGCAAUUUUUUUUCCUUCAUCCUACUGCCAAUAAAAGUUAAGUUUUAGUUACCUUAAGCCAGUAGCUUUAAACAGUUGGGCACAUAUACGUACC
rnacentral:lncRNA from 10 species